AUGGAUCCGAAGUCCUGUAGGGAGAGGUACAAACCCAUACAUUGUACCAAAGUGCUAUCUCUUUGCCUUGGAUCCUCCAAAAUAGCUGACAGAUGUGGAAAAGAUGUACUCAAGCAGUUCCCCAAUGACUAUAUCCUACUGUUGUUGAUGAAAGACAGAAAGUUAUUUCAGUUUCCUUCAUUUUAACACAGCUACUCUGGAUGAGGCAAGUGAUGAAGAAAAUGAGUGGCACCAUGAUUCCCAAACAGCUGCUGUAUGAGUGCUGAAAUAAAACAAAAACAAAAAAAGGAGGAUAGAAGAAGCAGUGGUGUGGCCUAGUGGAUAGAAGAGGAAUAGGGAGUCAGAAGGACCUAAUCCCAGGUCCACCACUUCUUGAUUUCUUCCAAAACUUUGUCUCAUUUCAGCUUUAUGUAUGUCAUCCUUAUAGGUCAUUUUUCACUUAUAGGUCAUGUUUUCAUGUGAAAUUCCUGAAAACAGAGGAUCACUUUAUAUUUGACCAUUUGGUGACACUCAUUUCAGUUUAGAAAAAGCAGUUGUGUCUAUUUCUUUUUCUAUUCAUAAUUAAAACAAGAAGGAAGUUGGA